UGUCACAUCUGUAAUCCCUUAUGAGUCAUAAUGUAAUAUGUGAGGGUAGAGUGGUCAGUAUAUGUAGUGAGCUAUUAGAUGAGGGACACUUGUCAGUAGAUGAGUGAAAGUAGGAUUUGUUAGAGAUAAGAGAUAAAAAACAUGAGUCUGAAUGAAGGGAUAUGAAUUGAGUUGUAAUAGAACCAGAGGCUCAGUUUCGAUUAGAAACUUGAGAGUUAAUCAAUCUUUUCUUCAAAUUAGGUUAUUGUUGAUUAGAUUGUUACAAUUGGUAUCAAAGCCGUACUUUCCUGGUGUUAAUCAUGGUAGCAGAUACUAGAAUGAAAGAUAUAGAAGGAAUAACAAAGGAACACACCAAUCAACUAGCAGAUCUGAAAUCUCAAAUAGAUAGGUUAGUGAAAGAUGCUGAUGAGAGGAAGGUAGCAGUGAAAAAGUUCUCGGAUCAAUUGGAUAAGUUGUUUUCAUUAUUCAAUCCUAGAUCUGAAAAAGGGAAAGAUAAAGUUAGAGAAGACGUUGAAACGAGUUCAAGGCGAGGUGAGCAUAACGUAGAAGAUUCAGAGAGAUUUUUUCUUCAUCAACAACAGGGAUUCAAAAUACUUCAGGUAAUGUUGUUCGACAUUCCAAAUUAGAAUUUCCAAGGUUUGAUGGAACAAAUCCUAGAGCAUGGUCACAAAAAUGCAAAAAACUCUUCUCUAUUCAUGGAACUGAUGAACUGCAAAAAGUAGCUAUUGCCUCUCUUUAUAUGGAGGGAAAGGCUGAUAGUUGGUUUUUAGCUUAUCAAGAGGGAAAAGAUUUCAUACUAUGGAAUGAAUUAGUGGAGGAUUUAUGCCUUCGUUUUGAGGAUUUGAGUCAAGGGAAUUAUGUGGGAAAUUUCAAUAAGUUGGUGCAAACUGAUUCUGUUGAAGAUUAUUUUGAAAAGUUUGAAGAAUUGAAAUCAUAUAUGUUGGCUAAGAAUAAGGCUCUUUCCAGUGAGUAUUUUGUUUUAAGCUUCUUGAGCGGAUUGAAGGAGGAGAUUAAAGGCCUGGUACAAAUGUUUAAACCUGCUACUCUUAAUGAGGCAUUUCAAUAUGCUAGAAUGCAGGAAGAAGUUUUGGAAGUGCAUAACAAAAGCCCCAAACCCAUCACCAAGACCUCAAUAGCCACCACCUCUCAUUUUUCAAAUUCUUUUCCCUCAUCCAAACCAUCCAGUACUUUUCCAUCCAAAACUUCUAAAUCCCUGCAUACCCAGAAAAUUGCGACACCUUUUACUGACACUAUCAAACCAUUUGCCAAAAAUUCUAAAGGACUUUGUUAUAACUGUGAUAAAAAUUUUAAACCCGGGAAUGUAUGCAAAUCACAACAGUUGUUUAUGUUGGUGGUUGAUGAAGACAACAUAGAGAAUUCCGACGACGAUGACAAUGGAAAUGAAGAACAUGAAGUCGACGAGGAAGGUAUAGAGAUUUCUGUCAAUGCUCUAACUGGACAGGUUGGACAAAAUACGAUCAGAGUUCAUGGUUAUAUCAAGAAGCAAAAAUUGACUAUUUUAAUUGAUGGAGGUAGUACGCACAGUUUUAUCAGUCCAGAGAUUUUGAAACAGGUGGGAGAAGUAGGGGUUCCUACAGCAAGGAUGCGAGUUAGGGUUGGGAAUGGCGCAAAAACAAUUAGCCGAGCCAUAUGCAAAAAUUUGAGCUGGGAAAUGCAAGGCCAUUCUUACACACAUAGUGUUAGACUUCUCAAGAUUGUUGGUUCUGACAUGGUUUUAGGAGGAGAUUGGCUCAAAACCUUAGGAGAUAUUGUCAUGAAUUAUAAAAAAUUGACAAUGUCUUUUGAAAAAGAUGGUCAGAAGGUGACUUUGAAGGGAAUUCCUGAAUCUGCUUCUUUGAAAAUGAUGACUGGACAGGCUUUGAAGAAUUUUUUUAAGAAGAACACUCAUGGCUUAAUUGGUGGACUAUUUUCUAUAAUUGCAACUCCUUGUCAGCAGUCUUUUCCUCUACCAAUUGCCUCACUUCUACAAGAUUUGCAAGACGUAUUUCAGGAACCACACUCUUUACCACCUCAAAGACUUUUGGACCAUCACAUACCACUCAAAACUGAUGUUGUGCCUACAAGUCAGAGACCUUACAAGUACCCUUAUAUUCAGAAAACUGUUAUUGAAACGUUGGUUCAAGAGAUGUUAAAUGUUGGUACCAUACAAACAAGCCAUAGCCCUUUUGCUUCUCCUGUGAUCUUAGUGAAGAAAAAAGAUGGGACUUGGAGGUUUUGUGUCGAUUAUAGACAAUUAAAUGCCAUGACUAAUAAAGACAAGUUUCCUAUGCCUAUUAUUGAUGAGCUACUAGAUGAAUUGUAUGGGGCCAAGGUAUUCACCAAAAUAGACUUGAGGUCUGGUUAUCAUCAAAUCCGGGUCAAGGAAGCUGACACUUAUAAAACUGCUUUUAAAACCCAUCAUGGUCAUUAUGAAUUUAGAGUCAUGCCCUUUGGACUUACAAAUGCUCCUGCUACAUUUCAAGCCUAAAUGAAUGAGGUUUUUCAACCUUUUUUGAGGAAGUCGGUUUUAGUAUUUUUUGAUGACAUCCUUGUGUACAGUCCAUCUUUAGAAACACAUGUGGAGCACUUGAAACAGGUCUUACAAUUGUUGCGGCAACACACAUUAUAUGCUAAGCUUUCUAAGUGUUCUUUCGCUCAAUCCCAGCUGGAGUAUUUAGGACAUUUAAUUUCAGGACAAGCAGUGGCAGCUGACCCUGCCAAGGUAGAAGCUAUGACUAUGUGGCCUAAGCCAGCAAACUUGAAAAUUUGAGAGGGUUUUUGGGUCUUACAGGGUACUAUAGAAGAUUUGUUAAGGGGUUGGAACCAUUAGUCAGCCUUUGACUGACAUGCUCAAGAAAAAUAACUUUAAGUGGUCUCCGGCAGCUGACAAAGCUUUUGAAGAACUGAAAUUGGCCAUGUCGACCACUCCGGUUUUGAUUCUGCCCGAUUAUACUCAAUUUUUCGUUGUCGAAACAGAUGCUUGUGCUAGAGGGGUGGGAGCAGUGUUAAUGCAGUCUGGCAGGCCUAUUGUUUUUUCAGCAAGGCUCUAGGUCUCAAGGCAUUGGGUUAUUCCACCUAUGAAAAAGAGCUUUUAGCCAUAGUGAUGGCUGUGACUAAAUGGAGGUCCUACUUGUUGGGUCAUUCUUUUAUUAUAUACUGAUCAACAAAGUAUUAAAUACUUUGUGGAACAAAGACUUACUACUCUUUUGCAGCAAAGGUGGUUGUCGAAACUGUUGGGGUUUGAUUAUAAAAUUGUAUACAAGAAGGGAUCAGACAACAGGGUAGCAGAUGCCCUUUCUAGGGUGGUGGAAGACCAAGGGUCUUGUCACAUGAUGACCAUGGUACAACCUAAGUGGGUCCAAGAGGUAAUGGAUUCCUAUCAACAUCAUACUGUUGUUCAGCAGCUACUCACUCAACUUCUGAUCACUCCUACAGGUGUCACCAAUUAUUCUUAUAUAGAUGGCUUAGUCAGGUACAAAUCCAGGGUGUAUGUGGGCCAACAGGGUGACUUGAGGCAGAAACUGGUUCACUCUAUUCAUUCUUCAAGUAUGGGAGGACACUCUGGUAUACAAGGAAGUUAUCAUAGGGCCCAACAAUAUUUUUUUUGGCCAGGUUUGAAACAAGAUAUUAUCCAUUUGGUCAAAGACUGCGACAUCUGCCAGCGCAAAAAAGGGGAACACACUUCUACUCCUGGGUUAUUGCAGCCUCUUCCCAUUCCUGAACAAGCAUGGCAGCACAUUUCCAUGGACUUCAUUGAAGGCCUACCAAAUUCAGAAGGUAAACAAGUAAUUAUGGUAGUGGUGGACAGGUUGACCAAGUACAGUCAUUUCUUGUCUCUCUCUCAUCCAUUCACUGUUGUUACUGUGGCUAAACUCUUUCUGGACAAUAUCUAUAAAUUGCAUGGUAUGCCAUUAUCAAUUGUAUCUGACAGGGACAAGGUGUUCUUAAGUAAUUUCUGGAAGGAUCUAUUUAAAGUCUUGGGCACCCAGUUGCACUUUUCUACUGCAUAUCACCCUCAGACGGAUGGCCAAACCGAAAGAAUCAAUGCAUGUGUUAAGCAAUAUCUAAGAUGUAUGACUGGUCACAAACCUUCUGCUUGGAACAAAUGGCUGGCUCUUGCGGAGUGGUGGUUCAAUACCAAUUUUCAUUCAGGUCUUAAGAUGUCUCCUUUCAAGGCUUUGUAUGGUUAUUCACCACCCCAUUGGCUUUUCCUACUGAAGAUUGUGCUACAGUGGGACAAGUUGAAGAAUACAUAAAACAUCGCACUGUGCUUUUAGAUAUUGUCAAGGAAGGACUUCACACUGCUCAAGCUCGAAUGAAAUGGUAUGUCGACCAAAAGAGAGCUGAAAGACAAUUUCAGGUGGGUGAUUGGGUUUAUCUUAAGUUGCAGCCCUACAGACAAACGUCAGUGGCUCUUCGGAAAAACUUAAAACUUUCUGCCAAGUUUUAUGGUCCUUUUCAGAUCAUAGCUAAGGUGGGAGAAGUGGCCUACAAGCUUCAAUUACCACAAGGGUCUAAGAUACAUCCUGUUUUUCAUGUAUCUCAAUUAAAGCAGAAAUUGGGACAAGCUGUGAUUCCUAUGCCUCAUCUACCACUUGUCGGUUCAGAGGGUCAACUCAAGGUGGAACUUAUUGCUAUUUUAGACAGAAGAAUGGUCCCUAGGAACAACCGGGCUGUCUCUCAAGUGUUGAUUCACUGGUCUAAUGGUCUGCGUACUGAUGCUACAUGGGAGGAUUGGAGCUAUAUUCACUCACAUUUUCCAGAUUUUAAUCCUUGAGGACAAGGAUUCUUUCAGAGAGGAAUGCAACGUCACAUCUGUAAUCCCUUAUGAGUCAUAAUGUAAUAUAUGAGGGUAGAGUGGUCAGUAUAUGUAGUGAGCUGUUAGAUGAGGGACACUUGUCAGUAGAUGAGUGAAAGUAGGAUUUGUUAGAGAUAAGAGAUAAAAAACAUGAGUCUGAAUGAAGGGAUAUGAAUUGAGUUGUAAUAGAACCAGAGGCUCAGUUUCGAUUAGAAACUUGAGAGUUAAUCAAUCUUUUCUUCAAAUUAGGUUAUUUGUUGAUUA
rnacentral:lncRNA from 1 species